AGUGAACGCUGGCGGUAGGCCUAACACAUGCAAGUCGAACGGCAGCACAGGAGAGCUUGCUCUCCGGGUGGCGAGUGGCGGACGGGUGAGGAAUACAUCGGAAUCUACUCUGUCGUGGGGGAUAACGUAGGGAAACUUACGCUAAUACCGCAUACGACCUACGGGUGAAAGCAGGGGAUCUUCGGACCUUGCGCGAUUGAAUGAGCCGAUGUCGGAUUAGCUAGUUGGCGGGGUAAAGGCCCACCAAGGCGACGAUCGGUAGCUGGUCUGAGAGGAUGAUCAGCCACACCGGAACUGAGCCACGGUCCAGACUCCUACGGGAGGCAGCAGUGGGGAAUGUUGGACAAUGGGCGCAAGCCUGAUCCAGCCAUACCGCGUGGGUGAAGAAGGCCUUCGGGUUGUAAAGCCCUUUUGUUGGGAAAGAAAUCCAGCUGGCUAAUACCCGGUUGGGAUGACGGUACCCAAAGAAUAAGCACCGGCUAACUUCGUGCCAGCCGCCGCCGUAA
rnacentral:rRNA from 1 species